GCCGGUAUGGCCAAGUGGUAAGGCACUGCACUUGUACGACUUAUUCCACAACGUGGUUAACAAUACAUGCAGCGAUCUCUCGUUCGACCCGGGAUGCUGGCU